AAGUCGUAACAAGGUUUCCGUAGGUGAACCUGCGGAAGGAUCAUUAACACGUAUCCAUCCCCUCUUGCAGCCCAUGAGGAACAGCAAUCCCGGUAAAUCAUUGCCAAACAGUUUUGAUUCGGGACCUCUGUCCAAAAGGAGUUGCAAUCGAAGGGUGGAAGCAGUGGCAUGGCUUCCCCAAGCAGUUAGUGAAUGACAGUGUCACUGACUGUGUAAGGAUAACGCCUCACGGUUGCUAGAGGUCGAUCACCGACCGGCAGACAUGUCACAGGGUCACCACGCCCCUUAAUCACUCCACUUGAAAAUGCCCCGCCUAGUGGUAACGCGCUAGGUAAAAAAAACCGAACAACUGUUAACAAUGGAUAUCUUGGUUCUC
rnacentral:misc_RNA from 1 species